GUGAAAAUUUAUGUGUGAAUGAGGGAAGGAGAAGGAAAUAUGUUCUAAUGCAGUUAAAAAAAGGAAUAAGAGGACGUGUGAACUCAAGAAUGGAUCCAACAGCUCAGCUGUAAACUUUUCUGCCGGGUUCAUUUGUUGUUUGCAGGAACGUUGCUGCACGCUUUCAUGCUUGAAGGGGUUGAGAAUCUGCUUGUACUGAAGAGGACAGUUUAAAUUUUGCAUUAAGCUAUCAUCCUCAAAGGCAUCAGCUGUGAGCGUACAUCAGCCUCACAACACUCUGCUCAAGAUGCCUUUACAAAGUCAACUUUAAAGACGUGUUUGUUAACUUUUUCCUUCUCUCUUUGCAGGACCUCUCAGCGCAGUGUGCAUCUGUCUGUAAUCCAUCACUCAGUGGGUGCAUACCUGCGGGAACUCGAUGAUGGCUGCGGUAUGAGGUAGUGUUACGCUGGACCGCUUGUUUUUUCAGGCCUCCCUCUGCCCUGCCGCUCAUAAGAGAGGUUUACUCUUUCGUUAAACAACUGCUACACUGCAAAAACAAGAUGAUGGACUUGAAGACAUCCAGAAUUCUCAGGCGGCUGCCUGUUUGACUGCUAAAUUUACCCUUCACACACAUGUAAUGAGUCUGCAAAGUCAUUUGCAUGAAACUUUGGUCAUCUAAAGAAGGUUUGAACCCCUCCUGAACCUUUUAAACCCUUUACGAAGAUGUUUUUUUGAAUAACUUGAAAUCCAAGUUUAAAUGCAUUUUAGCCAACUUCAAUAUGAGGAAUUUGCUGCAAAAAUUUCAUUUCAGAUCAGAAUCCUAAUGUUAUCUCAUUUGACGAUCCAAACCUGCUGUACAUAGUAUAAACGCAAACAUUACGAUUAUUCCUAGAAUGUUCUAGAUUAACUUUAGGGGCAUGCAGAAGCUGGAGCACUUAACCCGGGGGUGUCCUAACUCUUUGCAAAGAGAGCCAGAUUUAGUGAGGUGAAAAUGUUUGAGGACUAACCAUUAAGCCUGACCUUUUUUGAAUCUUUCAUAACAUUAAAUGCAAAUGAACUCACGAGAAAGCCAGCCAGAAUCAAAAAAUCGUACUCACAGUUUUUAGAAAAUGCUGGGGGCUGCAGAUUAUUGAUUUUUUUUUUUUUUUUGACAGGAGCCUGCAGACUUUUAUGCGGGCCACAUUUGGCCAGACUUUGGACAUGCCUGACUUAACCAAAUCAGAAAAUAGGUGUGAUUCCUUAAUUUGCCUCCUCUGAAUAUUUCUACAAUUUUCUCGAUUAACAGAGUAAAAAAGUAUCGCUCAAAGAUGAGAUGAUGCCGACUUAGCAAUUAAAAAUCAUCUUAGCUGAACAAAAGAGCACACCUGAGUUUCGUGACCAUGUUCAAUUGAAUUUUUCAUGGCAGAACCAAAAGGUUUUUUUUUGUCUUCUUACAAAUAAAAUCAUCUAAUUUUCCAACCCCAGUAAGGUCUUUUAGUCAACCUACCCUGAUUCAUCUGUUGUGCUCUGCUUUUUCACAGCCCCUAUCAUCACACUCCUACCUUUAUGCUUCAUCGGCCUUCAGCAGCCUUGUUCACAAAUACUUAUUUCUGAUAAUUUUCACGUACUUGAUGCAUUUUGUUCUUUCCUUUUUAGACAAGCCCUCCGAAGCAACCGUGAUUAAAUGAAUGAAUGAAUGAAUGAAUGAAUGAAUGAAUGAAUGAAUGAAUGAAUGAAUGAAUGAAGCUUUAUCUGUCAUAUGCAGUAUCAACACAGGUAAAUGAAAUGCUUAUGAUGGGAAGAGCAGAUUUAGUGGCCAGAAAAGGUCGGGAGGAACCCGCCUUGUGAAGAAAAGAACAAAAAAAGAAAAAGACAUUAUGAUAAUAUAAAAUAUAAUAUAGUGGAGUACAAGUUUAAAGGGGCAUGUAAAGUCAAGUACAAACACCUGAAGCUAAGUACAAAAGCAGAAGCUGUCCCUGAGUCUUUUUGUACGUGCUGGCAGGCUCCUGUGUGGUCUGCCAGAGGGGGUGUUUCACAAACACCACUUUGUUCAGUUAAUCCGUCAUCAAACGUGUGCUCCGUUUUGUUAGAGGGGUCACAGGUCAACUCCCGCUGUGUGCAGUCGUUGCAGGUACAUUCAGGUGUUGUAUUCCAAAGAGGAAAAAUUCUGCAUGUCAAGUUGAUGCAGAGGUGAAAAAUCUCUCAUGUUUUUCUGCCUGAGGCCUCCUUGUUAGUUAAAUUCUGGGCCGCAGUCAAAGGCUUUCUGUGUGAAGCUGCUGCAGGAAGGGAGGGCUGUUUCACUGCUGACCUCUGGCAGUGUGACUAGUAAUUAAAAAUUAGCUUGUUAUUUCUGCUGCUGCAGCAAACCCCAGCCCUGCAACUGUCAGCAUUACUGGUUGUUCUGAGACAGAGACACCGUCUCUGCUGAUGAAAUGAGCCAAAGUUUCUCGUUUUUUUUAUAGACCGUUGAUGCUCUUUCCCUUUCCUGGGUCCACGUCUGUCACCCCCCCCGUGCUGGAAAACUAUUCCUGUUACUGUUUAUUGGGAUGCGUGCUUCCUGCAGAUCACAGCGGGGGAUCGCUGCGGAGACGUCGCCCGGGGGAGUCACACGAGCCGUGACCAGCUGAUCGACAGGGGCAGAGGGCAAAGCUGAGAAAGUGCGAUGAAGUUUAAGACAGAGACAGCGACUGAGGAAUGUGUGGAGGCACAAGAGCAAGAAGAGCCACAGAGACAAGUUAGUGAUGUGUUGGGAAUAUAAUAUGCGUGAUGUCAAGACACUGGAUUGGCGACACAUUGGAUGGAGCCGCCCGCUUACCUGGAUUCUGGGGCUCCGGCAUGUUUGCGUCUCUAUAGAGAUUCCUAUCAAAGCGUCUUCCUCCCUGCUUCUUAAAAGGAUCUGCCUGCCUGGCUCUUCAUCCCUUUUUAUGACCUAAACCCCCCACCCCCCGCCGUCGCCACUGCCGCCUUCUACCAUUGCCAUCCUUCCACAAGUAGAACAAAAAAGGAGGAGAGCGACAGAAUGGCUGUCACUUGAAACCUUGGCAGAAGUCGUAAGGAUUGAAGAGGAGGAGGAGGAAGACACCAUGAGGGGUAAAAGUGGUUCAGAGCCAUAAAGAAAAGUUCAGCCCCCCGGAAAACCUGCCAGCUGAUUAACUGCACAGAUUUGUUUCAUGUUCUUACGAGGGAGGAGGCAUCUGUUGGAAUGAUGCACUUAGAGUGUGUUCAGCACAAAUCUGUAAUUUGGUGAGGAGAAAGGUGGUUUUAUGUCUCCAGGCCAUAAAAACUAGGAUCAGUUUGGCGUCUGCAUCUCUGCUGGGAAGAUCUUGUUCCUUUGAAAGCUGCCUCAAGACACUGGAAGAAAUGCAACAACUUGCAGACCCUCAGAUAAAUUUGGGGGUUUUAUGUUGCAUUCCUUGUUGGUCAGUUGCAGAGAUCAUGGUUUCCUCCUGAAGGCCUCACAGGCAGGCCUCACACUCAAAUGAGCUAAGGUAGAAGGAGAAAAAAGGAGUCAGAGUAACAAUUCUGUUAGUUCUUCUCCUUAUGCUGCAUCUGUCAGGAGGCUCCAAAAACAUGAACGGUUAAGUGUUGGUGAGCGUGACUGUUUGUACUGGGCCUUGAUGAGCUAAAGCCUGUAAGAUUGUGUUUUCUCCUCUGGAUGGCAACUGUUUUACGUUACAUUUCAAGUUUUUUAAAAUAAUUUGUCCUCUUUGAAGAAGACAGGUUCUGUUUGAGCUGUAAAAAUUCUGGAUGGGACAUCUACAGAGAAAAUGCAAACAUAAUACAAAUAAUUCUGAAAACCUAUCAGGCCCCAGUAAAGCUCCAGCUCAAAUUUCUUAUACAACUUUGCCGUUUAGGUGAAAAUUAUUCUUUGACUUUUGAUGAAAGAUGGGAAUUAGAAUUAUAUUGUCAGACUUUUCUAGAUCAAAUUUGAAUCAACUUUGGGAAUUUGAUUGACCUUAACUUAGAAAUAUUUUGCCCAAAUCCAAAUGAUAACAGACGACUUACAAAUAAUCCACAAAGAGCUAGUGUACCCAUAACACUGCAGAAUUAAGAGAAACUCAAUUUAGCUCCCUAGGAAAUUGAAGGCAUGUACCUUUUGUUCAAUAUAAUGUGAUAUAAUAUAAUUUAAUAUAAUAAAUGAGUUAAUUUUAUUUCUAAUAUCUCCCACUUGGACCCAAGUCAUGAAGAAAGUGCAUCAAGUGUCAACCCUCAGGUUUUUGACAUUUCAGUAUGUGCAAAAUGUAUUCUUCAUAGUUAUUCACUUAAAAUAAACAUUUUGCUUUGAAUGAACCACUAAAUAAUUUCAAAAUGUGAAAUGUUUAUUGUAAAAAUUGUAAAGCUAAAAACCAGAUUAGUAUUCCACAAAAAAUGACAAGAAGUCAUUUUUUCGACCUCAGAAAUGUCUUUAUUGUGCUACCGCUGAUUUUAGGAAUGUGAUAUCAAUUGGACAUGGAGAGUUUAAAAAUCUGUGUAAAAUUAUGCAUAUUAAUCCUCUUUUCACUUUGCAUUUCUUCAUCUGCGUGCCCUCCUCUGUUUUCCACGCUGGUUGCAUCUCCGUUGGAACGGCUGUAACCUUGGCAGUAUCAAUAAACAUUCUUGGAAGCUUUGUAUUUAGGUGGAGAACUUCAGUCAAAAACAGAGGCAGAGAUUGCUAUUUGAGGCAAGUGCAACAUGAGAUUUGGAAAUCCAAGGACUGCUAAAUACCCGGUAGGAAGAUUAAGGAGAGCUGUUUGAACAGGACAUAAAAGCUCCUCCAGGCUGUUGCACUUACUGUAUAUUAUAACUUACAUUUUAGACCGAAUUGUCUUCCAUAAAUCUUUCUGAUGCAUGCACAGCUCAUCAGCUGUGAUUCAUAUUCUGAGGGAAGUCUCUGAAUCGAUACACAUUAUUAACAUAUUAUGGAUCUGAAGUGGAUAUAAGAGACUAACUUUAGGUGUCCUACAUGAUCCAGUGGUCUGCCGCAGAGGGUGACAUCAACGUUAUUUAACACCUUCAUUAGUUAAGCCUCACUGAAGUGAACAUUAAGCCAAGUAAAGCAGGUCUGCUCCUCCUCCUUCCCCACUGAGGGCGUCCUGCGACUGCUGCACACUGUUUCAGAAAUUAAAACCUUCAACAGAAAUCAAAAUUUUAAGAUCUGGAUUUGAAUUCUCUGGUUACAUUUAAAUUAAGAAGGUGGGUGAACAGGGGGGGUUUGUGCCUGUUAAGGGCCUGUGUGGGUCAGCAGCAAGCAAACCGGAAAAUGUCUGUUUUCUGUGUCCUCGAUUGUCCCAUUACAACACAUUUGUGAGCUGGAAUUAGUGGGUGAAAAUUUUUAUUUCACAAAUAUCACAAAGAAUAAUACUGGCCUCUUUUCUUCUGGAAAUAAUACUUAAAAGAAUCAUCAGAGAUCAUUGAAAACAUGCAAACACAACAGUCUUGAUGCAUUGCUCUGCACUGACAGCAAGAAACAAAAUAUGUUUAAAGACACUACAAAUCCAGAAAUGGCAACACUUUCUCUAACGUUAACUACCCUCCAUCCUCUAGAUAUUCAUGCAUCCAUUCUUUAUACCUACUAAUGCCUGAUUGUGGUUGAUGGAGCUGAUCCAUGUACUGUGGGACACCGUGGACAGUUCUCCAGUCCGUCGCAGGACCACACAGUCACAGAGAACCACACAAAGUCAUAUUCACACCUGAGGGGCUGUUCAGUCACCAGUCAACCUGGGAAAUCUAUGGGAGGAAGCCAAAGUGACAGGAGAAAACCCAUGUAUGCACCACGAGAACAUGCAAACUCCACCCAACUGGGAUUUGAACCAGGGACUUUUUGCUGAUAUUGACUAUUGUUUAACUCUUAUUCUAGACUAUUUUUAUGUUUUAUACAUCUAAAAUAAACUAAAUCUCCUUC